UCGAAUCAGAUGAGGAAGGUACUGACAGAGAGCGGCUUUGGUACUGAAUCAGAAAUCAGAAUGGACUGUGGCUUUAUACAGUAGAUAUGAAAUAUUAGGUACCAUUUAACUGCCUCUGUUUGCGGUUUUUGUCAUGUCUGUCAUUCCCUGUUUAGUUGAUAGAUGGAGUGAGGAGAAUAACAACAUAAUUUUGACUUGGAAGCAAAAUGAACGAGGCCUUGAACCAAAUCAGCAUGUUUGGAAGCGAUGCUGGUCGGAAAGCCUUAAACUGCUGCAGAAAAUUCAAGGAAUACCAGCAGCUACUGAACGACUCGAACUUGAAAUGACAGUUUCAUAUAAUACGUUUUUAUUCUCGUUGAAUUUCUCCA